UAUUUUACAGUUUUUCUCCAUUGGUUUGGCUCAUUUCUUGAAACUGAGAUGACAUUCUCAAAAUAACAUGGACAAAUUCCCAAACUAACUUGCAGUUUCUCAUAACAGAAUGGCAUUUCUCAUUGCUUUCAUCACAUUUCAAAUGCUUUGUACAUGUCUCAAGCACUUAGUACAUCUUUGCAAAUGGUUAUGUACAAGUAGCCUACACUUAACACAAUCAUCCUACAUUUAGUACAUUUUCCAAAAGAAUGCAUCUUGUUGAUCUAUCUUAAUUGGUUGGUUCUCAGUGUAAUGGUUGUUCUCUCCAAAACAUGUCAGCACAAUUUCAUCAUAUAAGUCAUCAUCUGCAGAAUAGUCUGCUCAAUUCUCAAAAUGAAUUAAGAAAUUGUAAUACAAUACAGAACACAUAUUUUGGAACAUUUCAUAGAUUCAUUACAAUCAGGUGAGUAGGUAACAGGUGAAAGCAGGUUUUGACGAAAAUGAGUGUCCCACAUUACUGGUGACCAAUCCAUCAGUUUGUUGUCUAUUAUUUUGAAUGCUGGCAUUGCUCUAUAUA